rnacentral:rRNA from 1 species
GCGAACGGGUGAGGAACACGUGAAGAAUCUGCCUUCAACUCUGGGAUAACACCGGGAAACCGGUGCUAAUACCGGAUAUGAGCCUUGAUCGCAUGAUCGGGGCUGGAAAGUUUUUCGGUGGAGGAUGACUUCGCGGCCUAUCAGCUAGUUGGUGAGGUAAUGGCUCACCAAGGCGACGACGGGUAUCCGGCCUGAGAGGGCGACCGGACACACUGGGACUGAGACACGGCCCAGACUCC